UGAGUUAUCAGGAGCAUAGCAGAAGUGCCCACGUCAUAGCCCUGUCAGAUUCUAAUGAAUCUGCAAAUUCUGCU
rnacentral:ribozyme from 1 species